rnacentral:rRNA from 1 species
AGAACGAACGCUGGCGGCAGGCUUAACACAUGCAAGUCGAGCGCCCAGCAAUGGGAGCGGCGGACGGGUGAGUAACACGUGGGAACAUGCCUUUCGGUACGGAACAACUGCGGGAAACUGCAGCUAAUGCCGUAUACGCCCUUAUGGGGAAAGAUUUAUCGCCGAAAGAUUGGCCCGCGUCUGAUUAGCUAGUUGGUGAGGUAACGGCUCACCAAGGCUUCGAUCAGUAGCUGGUUUGAGAGAACGACCAGCCACACUGGGACUGAGACACGGCCCAGACUCCUACGGGAGGCAGCAGUGGGGAAUCUUGGACAAUGGAGGAAACUCUGAUCCAGCCAUGCCGCGUGAGUGAUGAAGGCCUUCGGGUUGUAAAACUCUUUUACCUGGGAAGAUAAUGACUGUACCAGGAGAAUAAGCCCCGGCUAACUUCGUGCCAGCAGCCGC